AUUGAACGCUGGCGGCAGGCCUAACACAUGCAAGUCGAGCGGAUGAAGGGAGCUUGCUCCUGGAUUCAGCGGCGGACGGCUGAGUAAUGCCUAGGAAUCUGCCUGGUAGUGGGGGAUAACGUCCGGAAACGGGCGCUAAUACCGCAUACGUCCUGAGGGAGAAAGUGGGGGAUCUUCGGACCUCACGCUAUCAGAUGAGCCUAGGUCGGAUUAGCUAGUUGGUGGGGUAAAGGCCUACCAAGGCGACGAUCCGUAACUGGUCUGAGAGGAUGAUCAGUCACACUGGAACUGAGACACGGUCCAGACUCCUACGGGAGGCAGCAGUGGGGAAUAUUGGACAAUGGGCGAAAGCCUGAUCCAGCCAUGCCGCGUGUGUGAAGAAGGUCUUCGGAUUGUAAAGCACUUUAAGUUGGGAGGAAGGGCAGUAAGUUAAUACCUUGCUGUUUUGACGUUACCAACAGAAUAAGCACCGGCUAACUUCGUG
rnacentral:rRNA from 1 species